rnacentral:rRNA from 1 species
AUUGAACGCUGGCGGCAGGCUUAACACAUGCAAGUCGAGCGGGGUGAUGGUGCUUGCACUAUCACUUAGCGGCGGACGGGUGAGUAAUGCUUAGGAAUCUGCCUAUUAGUGGGGGACAACAUCUCGAAAGGGAUGCUAAUACCGCAUACGUCCUACGGGAGAAAGCAGGGGAUCACUUGUGACCUUGCGCUAAUAGAUGAGCCUAAGUCGGAUUAGCUAGUUGGUGGGGUAAAGGCCUACCAAGGCGACGAUCUGUAGCGGGGCUGAGAGGAUGAUCCGCCACACUGGGACUGAGACACGGCCCAGACUCCUACGGGAGGCAGCAGUGGGGAAUAUUGGACAAUGGGGGGAACCCUGAUCCAGCCAUGCCGCGUGUGUGAAGAAGGCCUUAUGGUUGUAAAGCACUUUAAGCGAGGAGGAGGCUCUUCUGGUUAAUACCCAAGAUGAGUGGACGUUACUCGCAGAAUAAGCACCGGCUAACUCUGUGCCAGCAGCCGCCGUAA